rnacentral:sRNA from 1 species
CGUAUUAAACGUGAUAGAGAGUGACGAAAUAAAACAA